UUUUUCAUUUUCUUUUCUUCUUUUUUCUUCUUCUUCUUCUUCUUCUUCUUCUUCUUCUUCUUUCUCUCACUUAAAGCCACAAUAAACCCAUGGAAAGUGUAUACACUCUCUAAGCAAGCUUCCUCAUAUUUUCCCAAGUUCUUGAGUAUAAUUUUUGGGUUAGGGUUUGUGUUCUAAGGAAGUAAAAAGCUACCCAUCUCUUGAGAGUUGUUGAUUGAGACUCAUUGAGAUUCGCAAGCAGGUGAGUAGGAAUCUAUUAUUAGAUUCAAGUCUCAACAUACUUUUUUUUUGGUAGGCCUCUUUGAUCGAGGACCAUUUUUGUAACAUUUGUUGAGUCUUUGUAAUUGCAGCUAUUUUGGAGUUUAGAAAGUCUAUUUAGUUUUUUUUUUUGAGAAGUGUAUUAAACAAUUUGAUUAUGUUAUUUGAAUUAUGACUGGAUUGAAAGGUGAACAGGGAUUUUA